rnacentral:rRNA from 1 species
GGGUUGUGAGGUUAAGCGACUAAGCGUACACGGUGGAUGCCCUGGCAGUCAGAGGCGAUGAAGGACGUGCUAAUCUGCGAUAAGCGUCGGUAAGGUGAUAUGAACCGUUAUAACCGGCGAUUUCCGAAUGGGGAAACCCAGUGUGUUUCGACACACUAUCAUUAACUGAAUCCAUAGGUUAAUGAGGCGAACCGGGGGAACUGAAACAUCUAAGUACCCCGAGGAAAAGAAAUCAACCGAGAUUCCCCCAGUAGCGGCGAGCGAACGGGGAGCAGCCCAGAGCCUGAAUCAGUAUGUGUGUUAGUGGAAGCGUCUGGAAAGGCGCGCGAUACAGGGUGACAGCCCCGUACACAAAAAUGCACAUGCUGUGAGCUCGAUGAGUAGGGCGGGACACGUGGUAUCCUGUCUGAAUAUGGGGGGACCAUCCUCCAAGGCUAAAUACUCCUGACUGACCGAUAGUGAACCAGUACCGUGAGGGAAAGGCGAAAAGAACCCCGGCGAGGGGAGUGAAAAAGAACCUGAAACCGUGUACGUACAAGCAGUGGGAGCACGCUUCGGCGUGUGACUGCGUACCUUUUGUAUAAUGGGUCAGCGACUUAUAUUCUGUAGCAAGGUUAACCGAAUAGGGGAGCCGAAGGGAAACCGAGUCUUAACUGGGCGUUAAGUUGCAGGGUAUAGACCCGAAACCCGGUGAUCUAGCCAUGGGCAGGUUGAAGGUUGGGUAACACUAACUGGAGGACCGAACCGACUAAUGUUGAAAAAUUAGCGGAUGACUUGUGGCUGGGGGUGAAAGGCCAAUCAAACCGGGAGAUAGCUGGUUCUCCCCGAAAGCUAUUUAGGUAGCGCCUCGUGAAUUCAUCUCCGGGGGUAGAGCACUGUUUCGGCAAGGGGGUCAUCCCGACUUACCAACCCGAUGCAAACUGCGAAUACCGGAGAAUGUUAUCACGGGAGACACACGGCGGGUGCUAACGUCCGUCGUGAAGAGGGAAACAACCCAGACCGCCAGCUAAGGUCCCAAAGUCAUGGUUAAGUGGGAAACGAUGUGGGAAGGCCCAGACAGCCAGGAUGUUGGCUUAGAAGCAGCCAUCAUUUAAAGAAAGCGUAAUAGCUCACUGGUCGAGUCGGCCUGCGCGGAAGAUGUAACGGGGCUAAACCAUGCACCGAAGCUGCGGCAGCGACGCUUAUGCGUUGUUGGGUAGGGGAGCGUUCUGUAAGCCUGUGAAGGUGUGCUGUGAGGCAUGCUGGAGGUAUCAGAAGUGCGAAUGCUGACAUAAGUAACGAUAAAGCGGGUGAAAAGCCCGCUCGCCGGAAGACCAAGGGUUCCUGUCCAACGUUAAUCGGGGCAGGGUGAGUCGACCCCUAAGGCGAGGCCGAAAGGCGUAGUCGAUGGGAAACAGGUUAAUAUUCCUGUACUUGGUGUUACUGCGAAGGGGGGACGGAGAAGGCUAUGUUGGCCGGGCGACGGUUGUCCCGGUUUAAGCGUGUAGGCUGGUUUUCCAGGCAAAUCCGGAAAAUCAAGGCUGAGGCGUGAUGACGAGGCACUACGGUGCUGAAGCAACAAAUGCCCUGCUUCCAGGAAAAGCCUCUAAGCAUCAGGUAACAUCAAAUCGUACCCCAAACCGACACAGGUGGUCAGGUAGAGAAUACCAAGGCGCUUGAGAGAACUCGGGUGAAGGAACUAGGCAAAAUGGUGCCGUAACUUCGGGAGAAGGCACGCUGAUAUGUAGGUGAAGUCCCUCGCGGAUGGAGCUGAAAUCAGUCGAAGAUACCAGCUGGCUGCAACUGUUUAUUAAAAACACAGCACUGUGCAAACACGAAAGUGGACGUAUACGGUGUGACGCCUGCCCGGUGCCGGAAGGUUAAUUGAUGGGGUCAGCGCAAGCGAAGCUCUUGAUCGAAGCCCCGGUAAACGGCGGCCGUAACUAUAACGGUCCUAAGGUAGCGAAAUUCCUUGUCGGGUAAGUUCCGACCUGCACGAAUGGCGUAAUGAUGGCCAGGCUGUCUCCACCCGAGACUCAGUGAAAUUGAACUCGCUGUGAAGAUGCAGUGUACCCGCGGCAAGACGGAAAGACCCCGUGAACCUUUACUAUAGCUUGACACUGAACAUUGAGCCUUGAUGUGUAGGAUAGGUGGGAGGCUUUGAAGUGUGGACGCCAGUCUGCAUGGAGCCGACCUUGAAAUACCACCCUUUAAUGUUUGAUGUUCUAACGUGGACCCGUGAUCCGGGUUGCGGACAGUGUCUGGUGGGUAGUUUGACUGGGGCGGUCUCCUCCUAAAGAGUAACGGAGGAGCACGAAGGUUGGCUAAUCCUGGUCGGACAUCAGGAGGUUAGUGCAAUGGCAUAAGCCAGCUUGACUGCGAGCGUGACGGCGCGAGCAGGUGCGAAAGCAGGUCAUAGUGAUCCGGUGGUUCUGAAUGGAAGGGCCAUCGCUCAACGGAUAAAAGGUACUCCGGGGAUAACAGGCUGAUACCGCCCAAGAGUUCAUAUCGACGGCGGUGUUUGGCACCUCGAUGUCGGCUCAUCACAUCCUGGGGCUGAAGUAGGUCCCAAGGGUAUGGCUGUUCGCCAUUUAAAGUGGUACGCGAGCUGGGUUUAGAACGUCGUGAGACAGUUCGGUCCCUAUCUGCCGUGGGCGCUGGAGAACUGAGGGGGGCUGCUCCUAGUACGAGAGGACCGGAGUGGACGCAUCACUGGUGUUCGGGUUGUCAUGCCAAUGGCACUGCCCGGUAGCUAAAUGCGGAAGAGAUAAGUGCUGAAAGCAUCUAAGCACGAAACUUGCCCCGAGAUGAGUUCUCCCUGACUCCUUGAGAGUCCUGAAGGAACGUUGAAGACGACGACGUUGAUAGGCCGGGUGUGUAAGCGCAGCGAUGCGUUGAGCUAACCGGUACUAAUGAACCGUGAGGCUUAACCUUACAACGCCGAAG